CAGAGAUUGGAGGAAAGCCACAAGCUGGGAGAAAGAGGCCUGUCAUGCAUUCCCCCGCACGGCCUUCCAAAGACAGGUGGCUCUGCCAACUCUGUUAUUGGUACCUGUGCUCUCCAGCACUACCUUAAAGCUCCAGAUGUUCUCCACAGUCGUCUUUCUGGUGUUCAGGCACGUUCCAGGGAGAGCUGCAAUCGCCAGCCACACUGGACUAGUCUAGAUGCUUCUGCAAGGGCAACGCCUGAGCAGCCAUGAAGAAACUGAGGCCAGAAGCAGUUAAACCGGUCCCAACCGCACCUCUGUGGCCCUUAGCAAGGUGUUGAUGCGAAGCAGGCGCUCAGCCGCUCUG